AGCGAACGCUGGCGGCAGGCCUAACACAUGCAAGUCGAACGGACCCUUCGGGGUUAGUGGCGGACGGGUGAGUAACACGUGGGAACGUGCCUUUAGGUUCGGAAUAGCUCCUGGAAACGGGUGGUAAUGCCGAAUGUGCCCUUCGGGGAAAGAUUUAUCGCCUUUAGAGCGGCCCGCGUCUGAUUAGCUAGUUGGUGGGGUAAAUGGCCCACCAAGGCUACGAUCAGUAGCUGGUCUGAGAGGAUGACCAGCCACAUUGGGACUGAGACACGGCCCAAACUCCUACGGGAGGCAGCAGUGGGGAGUCUUGCGCAAUGGCGAAAGCCUGACGCAGCCAUGCCGCGUGUAUGAUGAAGGUCUUAGGAUUGUAAAAUACUUUCACCGGUGAAGAUAAUGACUGUAGCCGGAGAAGAAGCCCCGGCUAACUUCGUGCCAGCAGCCGCGGU
rnacentral:rRNA from 1 species